rnacentral:rRNA from 1 species
CACUCUAGAGAGACUGCCAGGGAUAACCUGGAGGAAGGUGGGGAUGACGUCAAAUCAUCAUGCCCCUUAUGCUUAGGGCUACACACGUGCUACAAUGGGUAGUACAGAGGGUUGCCAAGCCGUAAGGUGGAGCUAAUCCCUUAAAGCUACUCUCAGUUCGGAUUGUAGGCUGAAACUCGCCUACAUGAAGCUGGAGUUACUAGUAAUCGCAGAUCAGAAUGCUGCGGUGAAUGCGUUCCCGGGUCUUGUACACACCGCCCGUCACACCACGGGAG